rnacentral:rRNA from 1 species
GAUGAACGCUGGCGGCGUGCCUAAUACAUGCAAGUCGAGCGAACAGACGAGGAGCUUGCUCCUCUGACGUUAGCGGCGGACGGGUGAGUAACACGUGGAUAACCUACCUAUAAGACUGGGAUAACUUCGGGAAACCGGAGCUAAUACCGGAUAAUAUAUUGAACCGCAUGGUUCAAUAGUGAAAGACGGUUUUGCUGUCACCUAUAGAUGGAUCCGCGCCGCAUUAGCUAGUUGGUAAGGUAACGGCUUACCAAGGCAACGAUGCGUAGCCGACCUGAGAGGGUGAUCGGCCACACUGGAACUGAGGCACGGUCCAGACUCCUACGGGAGGCAGCAGUAGGGAAUCUUCCGCAAUGGGCGAAAGCCUGACGGAGCAACGCCGCGUGAGUGAUGAAGGUCUUCGGAUCGUAAAGCUCUGUUAUUAGGGAAGAACAAAUGUGUAAGUAACUAUGCACGUCUUGACGGUACCUAAUCAGAAAGCCACGGCUAACUACGUG